rnacentral:rRNA from 2 species
UGGGUUGCUUGCAAGGGCGUGUGGUGGAUGCCUUGGCGGACAGGACCGAUGAAGGACGUAGCGGGCUGCGAUAAGCCUCGGGGAGCCGUCGAGCGGGCUUUGAUCCGAGGAUUUCCGAAUGGGGGAACCCGGCCACCGUCAUGGGUGGUCACCGGCUUUGGCCGGGGGGUACGCAGGGAAGUGAAACAUCUCAGUACCUGCAGGAAAGGAUAUUCCGUGAGUAGUGGCGAGCGAAAGCGGAUCAGGCCAAACCACGCGCGUGUGAUAGGCGCCGGCCGUUGCGCGCGUGGUGUUGUGGGAGAAUGCGUCCGAGCCUCCGGCGGGCUUGGCGGCAGUGAUAAAACCGUGUGCGAGGCGAACCGGAUUGGAUGCCGGGCCGCAGAGGGUGAUGGCCCCGUAGCCGUACGCGCAUGGUCUGCCGGUCGUUUUUCCCAAGUAGCGCGGGCCUCGUGGAAUCCCGCGUGAAUCCGCCCAGACCGUUGGGUAAGCCUAAAUAUUCCUGUCCGACCGAUAGCGUACUAGUACCGUGAGGGAAAGGUGAAAAGCACCCCGGGAGGGGAGUGAAACAGUUCCUGAAACCGUGCGCCUACAAACCGUCGGAGCCUUUCGGGGUGACGGCGUGCCUAUCGAAAAAUGAGUCUGCGAGUCAGUGGCAUGUGGCGAGCGUAACCCGUGUGGGGUACGCGUAGCGAAAGCGAGUCUUAAAAGGCGUUUUGAGUCGCGUGUCCUGGACCCGAAGCGGGAUGAUCUAGCCCUGAGCAGGUUGAAGCGCGGGUAAGACCGCGUGGAGGACCGGACCCACCUGGGUUGAAAACCGGGGGGAUGACUUGGGGUUAGGGGUGAAAGGCCAAUCAAAUUCCGUGAUAGCUGGUUCUCUCCGAAAUGCAUUUAGGUGCAGCGUCGGAUUCAUUACAUCCGGGGGGUAGAGCUACUGGAUGCUUGCGGGCCCGUACUGGGUACCAACAGCAACCAAACUCCGAAUACCCGUGAUGCGUAUCCCGGCAGUGAGUCGGCGGGGGAUAAGCUCCGUCGUCGAAAGGGAAACAGCCCAGA